UACGUAGGGUGCAAGCGUUGUCCGGAAUUAUUGGGCGUAAAGAGCUUGUAGGCGGUUUGUCGCGUCUGCUGUGAAAUUUCGGGGCUCAACCCCGAACUUGCAGUGGGUACGGGCAGACUAGAGUGUGGUAGGGGAGACUGGAAUUCCUGGUGUAGCGGUGAAAUGCGCAGAUAUCAGGAGGAACACCGAUGGCGAAGGCAGGUCUCUGGGCCACUACUGACGCUGAGGAACGAAAGCUAGGGGAGCAAACAGG
rnacentral:rRNA from 1 species